AAUGUACUCCCUCCGUCUCAAAAUUCUUGUCUUAUAUUUGUCUAGAUAUGAAUGUAUCUAGUCACAUUUUAAUAUUUAGCUACAUCCAUUUCCAAACAAAUCUAAGAUAAGAAUUUUGGGACGGAGGAAGUAACAU
rfam:Hordeum vulgare subsp. vulgare, WGS project CAJW01000000 data, contig: morex_contig_49284